rnacentral:rRNA from 1 species
GAUGAACGCUGGCGGCGUGCUUAACACAUGCAAGUCGAACGGGAUCCAAGGGGUGCUUGCACUUUUUGGUGAGAGUGGCGAACGGGUGAGUAACACGUGAGUAACCUGUCCUUUUCUUUGGGAUAAGCAUUCGAAAGGGUGUUUAAUACCUUAUGUUCUGUCCGCCUCGCAUGGGGUGGGUGGGAAAGGCUUUGGCCGGAUUUGGGUGGGCUCGCGGUCUAUCAGCUUGUUGGUGGGGUGAUGGCUUACCAAGGCUUUGACGGGUAGCCGGCCUGGGAGGGUGGUGGGCAAAAUGUGGGUUGGGAUCCGGCCCGGACCCCGGCGGGGGGCAGCGGGGGGGAGUUUUGCAAAAUGGGGAAAAGCUUGUUGCAGGGAGGCCGGGGGGGGGAUGAGGGCUUUGGGUUUGUAACCUUCUUUUUCUCUGAACAAGGCAUGCCGGGGGGUGUGUUGACGGUAGGGGUUGAUUAGCGCCGCCUAACUACGU